UCAAAAACAUCUCUCUUUGUUUGUGAUGAAGAGUAGUCCCUGCCCGGUGAAUAUAUUUUUACGGCGGCGUUAAGCCUUAAAGUAGCGUGGUAAUUCGUCCCUUAAUUGGGGUCUGGUAUGAAAGGGUUGACGGGGGAAAUCUGUCUUGGAGGAACUACCUGAAAUUUUCUUCCUUGUGAAAAGCCAGGGAUUAUAUUAAAAGACGAGAAGACCCCGUCGAGCUUGACAUGGUUGUUACCUUGGUGGGACGAAAAAGUUUUAUUGGGGCAAUAUCGGAAAAAUCAAACUUCCGAUUUUUUUACUUGGAUCCUCUUUUUGAGAAAAAGGAAAAAGCUACCGCGGGGAUAACAGCGUAAGAUGGCUUGAAAGUUCUUAUUAAGAGCUAUAAUUGCGACCUCGAUGUUGGAUUAAGGUGAGCUUCCUGGAGCAGAAACUAGGUUAGCGGGACUGUUCGUCCUUUAAAUCCUUACAUGAUCUGAG
rnacentral:rRNA from 1 species